rnacentral:rRNA from 1 species
AGUGAACGCUGGCGGCAGGCCUAAUACAUGCAAGUCGAACGGCAGCACAGCAGAGCUUGCUCUGUGGGUGGCGAGUGGCGGACGGGUGAGGAAUACAUGGGAAUCUGCCCAGUCGUGGGGGAUAACGUAGGGAAACUUACGCUAAUACCGCAUGCGCCCUUCGGGGGAAAGCCGGGGACCUUCGGGCCUGGCGCGAUUGGAUGAGCCCAUGUCGGAUUAGCUAGUUGGCGGGGUAAUGGCCCACCAAGGCGACGAUCCGUAGCUGGUCUGAGAGGAUGAUCAGCCACACUGGAACUGAGACACGGUCCAGACUCCUACGGGAGGCAGCAGUAGGGAAUAUUGGACAAUGGGCGCAAGCCUGAUCCAGCCAUGCCGCGUGAGUGAAGAAGGCCCUCGGGUUGUAAAGCUCUUUUGUCCGGAAAGAAAAGACGCCGGGUUAAUACCCUAGUGUCCUGACGGUACCGGAAGAGUAAGCACCGGCUAACUUCGUGCCAGCAG